GAUGAACGCUGGCGGCGUGCCUAAUACAUGCAAGUCGAGCGAACAGACGAGGAGCUUGCUCCUCUGACGUUAGCGGCGGACGGGUGAGUAACACGUGGAUAACCUACCUAUAAGACUGGGAUAACUUCGGGAAACCGGAGCUAAUACCGGAUAAUAUAUUGAACCGCAUGGUUCAAUAGUGAAAGACGGUUUUGCUGUCACUUAUAGAUGGAUCCGCGCCGCAUUAGCUAGUUGGUAAGGUAACGGCUUACCAAGGCAACGAUGCGUAGCCGACCUGAGAGGGUAAUCGGCCACACUGGAACUGAGACACGGUCCAGACUCCUACGGGAGGCAGCAGUAGGGAAUCUUCCGCAAUGGGCGAAAGCCUGACGGAGCAACGCCGCGUGAGUGAUGAAGGUCUUCGGAUCGUAAAACUCUGUUAUUAGGGAAGAACAAAUGUGUAAGUAACUAUGCACGUCUUGACGGUACCUAAGCAGAAAGCCACGGCUAACUACGU
rnacentral:rRNA from 1 species